rnacentral:lncRNA from 1 species
CAGCGUUCAGUAUCCAGAGCUUGCAUCUGCCCAUCUGGGCCAGGCUCGGUGCAUCUGUCCCCAUGGAGCUGUCCCGGUGGAAGUUCUGCCCCCACUGCUUUGUCCUAAAGCUCCCUAAUUCUUCUUUUCAGAAUCUUUGCCCGCAUAUAUCCUCUGGACAGGGCUGGAACAGGACAGCAACUGUCAGAGUGUGCCCUGCAGAAUGGCUGGAGUCAAUGGGAAUGAAGCGGGAGAGAGAGAGUGGAUUCCAUGGUCAAGUGAGACUGAGAAGCUCUGGGCAAGGUUCCAGGAAACGGCGGGGCCCUAGAGCAUGAGGUAGGCAACCUGCUGAGACCCCCAGUUGCCGACCGAGGCUGGCCUGCUCUUGAACCUGGUUCUGCCUCUUCCCAGCUGUUUGGCCCUGCAAGACAGAUGAGGAUGUUAAUUUAACCUGCAGCACGUGACUGUGGUGAGGCUUAAAUGAGAAAACGUUCAUGAACCCAUCUAGCAAAGCGCCCAGCACUGAGUAGGCUCCUAGAUACUGGUUUCUUUCUAACACCUUGUCACAGUUUCCUAGCCCUGCCAUAACAAACGACCACAAAUUGGGAGGCUUAAACCAGCUUAUUUUUAUUCUCUCACAGUUCUGGAGGCUAGCAGCCUGAAAUUGAGGUGUUGGCAGGGCCACGCUCCCUCUGAAGGAUCAGGGAAGGAUCUUUCCUUGUCUCUUCCAGUUUUUGGGUUCCCUUGCUCAUGGCAGCAUCACACCAAUCACUGCCCCAUCUUCACAUGGC